UACAGAGGGUGCAAGCGUUGUCCGGAAUUAUUGGGCGUAAGGAGCUUGUAGGCGGUUUGUCGCGUCUGCUGUGAAAUUUCGGGGCUCAACCCCGAACUUGCAGUGGGUACGGGCAGACUAGAGUGUGGUAGGGGAGACUGGAAUUCCUGGUGUAGCGGUGAAAUGCGCAGAUAUCAGGAGGAACACCGAUGGCGAAGGCAGGUCUCUGGGCCAUAACUGACGCUGAGAAGCGAAAGCAUGGGGAGCGAACAGG
rnacentral:rRNA from 1 species